CUGCGAAACCAAACCAAUCAAUAUGAAAUUCCUCAUCGUCGUGCUUGCCUUCGUGGCUAUCGCCGCUGCCGUCCCAGUUGGCGAGAAGGAACCAACAAAGAUCCUCCGCUCUGAAUUCGACCAAAAACCUGAAGGCCCAUAUGUGUUCAGCUAUGAAACCGAUGACGGUUCAUCCCGCAGUGAAACUGGAGAGCUGAGGGAGACUCUUGACGAAGACAACAAGCCUCACAACGUGGUGGUCGUCCGCGGAUCUUACUCCUACGUCAAUAAUGAAGGCAAGACCGAGACCAUCAACUACUGGGCUGACGAGACAGGCUUCCACGCGGAAGGUGACUCCGUCCCAAAAACACCCGUCGCCCGGA